CCUACGGGAGGCAGCAGUGGGGAAUAUUGGACAAUGGGGGAAACCCUGAUGCAGCAACGCCGCGUGAAGGAAGACGGUUUUCGGAUUGUAAACCUCUGUUCUUAGUGAAGAAUAAUGACGGUAGCUAAGGAGCAAGCCACGCCUAACUACGUGCCAGCAGCCGCGGUAAUACGCAGGUGGCAAGCGUUGUCCGGAAUUACUGGGUUUAAAGGGAGCGCAGGCGGGAAGCCAAGUCAGCUGUGAAAACUACGGGCUUAACUUGUAGACUGCAGUUGAAACUGGUUUUCGUGAGUGAAGUAGAGGUUGGCGGAAUUCGGGGUGUAGCGGUGAAAUGCGUAGAUAUUCGGAGGAACACCGGUGGCGAAGGCGGCCAACUGGGCUUUAACUGACGCUGAGGCUCGAAAGUGUGGGGAGCAAACAGGAUUAGAUACCCGGGUAGUC
rnacentral:rRNA from 1 species